GACGAACGCUGGCGGCGUGCCUAACACAUGCAAGUCGAACGGGGUCCAUGAGAGCUUGCUCUCGGAAGACCUAGUGGCGAACGGGUGAGUAACACGUGAGAAACCUGCCUUGGAGUGGGGAAUAACUCGGGGAAACUCGAGCUAAUACCGCAUACCUUCCUUUGAUCGCAUGGUCAGCUGAAGAAAGAAUUUCGCUCCAAGAGGGCCUCGCGGCCUAUCAGCUUGUUGGUGGGGUAACGGCCUACCAAGGCUACGACGGGUAGCUGGUUUGCGAGAACGAUCAGCCACACUGGAACUGAGACACGGUCCAGAGUCCUACGGGAGGCAGCAGUGGGGAAUCUUGCGCAAUGGGCGAAAGCCUGACGCAGCAACGCCGCGUGCGGGAUGAAGGCCUUCGUGGUUGUAAACCGCUUUCAGCAGGGACGAAAAUGACGGUACCUGCAGAAGAAGCCCCGGCUAACUACGUGCCAGCCGCCGCCGUAACAC
rnacentral:rRNA from 1 species